UGGGGAAUAUUGCACAAUGGGCGAAAGCCUGAUGCAGCAACGCCGCGUGAGUGAUGAAGGCCUUCGGGUCGUAAAGCUCUUGAUCAGGGAUGAUAAUGACAG
rnacentral:rRNA from 1 species